CCUACGGGAGGCAGCAGUGAGGAAUAUUGGUCAAUGGCCGGAAGGCUGAACCAGCCAAGCCGCGUGAAGGACGAAGGUGCCAAGCAUUGUAAACUUCUUUUGUCAGGGGGCAAAAUCAGACGCGAGAGCCUGACUGAGGGUACUUUAAGAAAAAGCAUCGGCUAACUCCGUGCCAGCAGCCGCGGUAAUACGGAGGAUGCGAGCGUUAUCCGGAUUUCUUGGGUUUAAAGGGUGCGUAGGCGGGCGGGUAAGUCAGCGGGAAAAGCCCGGGGCUAACCCCCGGCCAGCCGGUGAAACUGGCUGGCUUGAGAUGAGGAGAGGUAGGCGGAAUGCGUAGUGUAGCGGUGAAAUGCUUAGAUA
rnacentral:rRNA from 1 species